CCAAAAACCACUCAGACACAACCGACCGUCCCGAGUGUGGGGCUCGCAGUCUCCGUCCCGAGUUCGAUACGAGCCCUCUCCUCCACACUGACCAGUGUCUGGCUAUAUUUCGAUCCUACACACCGACUCUUCCUACCUAACGAAUGGAGUUGAAAGUUUGGGUUGACGGGGUUCAGAGGGUCAUCUGCGGGGUCAGUGAAAAUACCAGCUGCCAGGAGGUGGUGAUCGCACUGGCACAGUCCAUGGGUAAAACGGGUCGUUAUAUCCUUAAGGAGAAGUUCAAGGAGUUUGAACGAAGCAUCAGUCCAGAGGAGAAGCUGAUGGAGUCCCUCAACAAAUACGGGCAGCAGGCCAACGAGGUGCACCUCAUCCUUAACUACAACGGGCCAUCAGCCAGAGAGAAGCCUGAAGCCCACAUACUUCGUGGUCAGUCAGGUCCUGAUAACAGGCUGCACAGACAAAGCCUGCCACCACAGGCAAGGACGAAGAUUGGGACGGACUCCAUAAAAGACUCCAAAAAGCCCAAGAGGAAGUCCCUCACUUUUGCAGAGGAAGCCAAGGAGUGGAUUGAAUCCUUCAGCAAAGCGAAGUUCAACUGCGUGAAGGUAAAGUCUAAGGAGGUCGGAAAGAGAAAUUCUACUCUUGUCAGUCAGCUUUUGGGGGAAAUGGUCCAUGCAUCCCAUCAGCCUGAAGACUUGGACCUCAAGGAUGUUAAGGAAGAAGAGGAUCCAUCAUUAUCAUCUUGUUCCAAAGAUGUUGUGGAGGAACUACACCAACUGCUGAGAUGUCAGAAAGCCCAGAUGGAAGAACUGCAGACCAUGCUGGCUGCCACUGAAGAAGAACUAAAAGUUCUCGAGGAGCAAGAAGAACUCGAGGCAGAAAUUUGUCGGCUCCAGCAUCUUGUGGACAACCAGUCCCCUGAAGUGGAGGAACUGGAAUACUGGGAGAAUGAGCUGCGAGCUGAGGAGGUUCACGAGAAGGACCUGCAACAAACUUUCUUGGAAAUGAAAUGGAAGGUGCAAGAGUGCAAACUUGAGCUAGAAGAAUACCGACAUCGGAUUCAGGGGCUGAACCCGCGUAACAGGUCACGGGGAGACUCUGGAGACAAUCCCCAGGAGAAAAUGGUCCACCCGAUGGGCAAGGGCCAAGACAGAGACAGCUGGGUAAGUACAAUGGACCUUGCCCGAGUACCAGCGCAAGAAACCGGUAAGAAAAUGCAGGUCCUGGAGACAAGUUGUGGGACCGAGUCCUUGGACCGACCUGCUGAGUCCCCCUUCACCAAGGCCUUCCGCUACAGCGAUACCAGCUUUACAGUUGGGCCUCUAAAAGAGUGGGAGAAACUCUGGUCUAAGGCCACAAGCUCCCUGGAGACUUCCCAUCGGGGCAGCACCAUCGUCUGACUGACAGACGUGCAGAGUGAAGGUCUGAACUGUCCAACAUACAGGAAGCACUUGGGUUGUGUAAAGACAUGAAAUUUCGGACUGCCAUGUCCUUCGUGAGGUGGAAUCCUUAAAACAAUUCAAGGUGGCCUUAACAUGUCAGCACAUUACACACUGAGUGUGCCCAAACGCUCUCCAAGGGUGCUGGUGAACUAUUAAAAAGAAGAUGGUGUUGUUGCUGUUCAUUAGUCCCCACAUUCUGGACUAGAUGGUAGACAUAGGUGGGAUCUUCUCCUUAUUACUACCCUGAUCUGCCUACUCACUUGUGUCUCUGAUCUUUGGGGAAGCAACAUGUUCUGAGCGUCGUCCUUCUCAAAGCAUUCAUUUACAAAGCAGUUCUUGAAACUUGACUUUAUUUAGUUCAAACUUUUUGUUCCAUAAAUUCACAACAAGCAAAGUAAAGGAGGGUUUCUGAAAUGUUCUCUCUUUGUACCCCUUGCUGACAAAAGACAAACGGUAGAUGCAAACAGUGCCAGCAGAUAUAGGGGAUGUUCCUGAAU